AAGGGCACGGCUCAGUGGUAGAGCGUGUGCUUAGCAUGCACGAGGUCCUGGGUUCAAUCCCCAGUACCUCCA
rfam:Camelus ferus unplaced genomic scaffold scaffold279, whole genome shotgun sequence.